GGCCCAGCACUGAAGUCACAUGUCUGUGGGGGUAGAACCACAAAGACUCAGCAAGGGGCUGUGGUGGACCUCACUUGCAGAGCAAUGCAUACUGUGUCCAUGUGUUUCCUGCUGUAUGUACUGAAUUCAUGGCAGACCCGGAGUGUGGCUGGUUGUGGGGACUCGAUUGUUCUGGAUACAGAUGAUAAGGAGAAAAGGCAGCAGAAUGAGGAAGAGUGAAGACUUCCCCAGACAAAACGUUGGCUUUUCACAAAGCUGCACACACAGAAGAAACAACUUUUGAA